CAGGCCCUACGGUCGUGUUAGUAGAAAUAUUUUGAAGACAAAGUUAUUAGAGAAUUGUGUUUUAAAUGGCGUUAGGUUUCAUAAGGCUAAAGUUUGGCAUGUGAAUCAUCAGGAGUUCGAGUCUUCGAUUGUUUGUGAUGAUGGAAAUGAGAUUAAGGCUAGCUUGAUUGUUGAUGCUAGUGGCUUUGCUAGUAGUUUUGUUGACUAUGAUAAGCCAAGAAACCAUGGAUACCAAAUUGCUCAUGGGAUUUUAGCUGAGGUUGAGAGUCACCCUUUUGAUUUAGAUAAAAUGGUUCUCAUGGAUUGGAGAGAUUCCCAUUUAGGGAAUGAGCCUUACUUGCGAGCUAGCAAUUUGAAGCUCCCAACUUUUCUCUAUGCAAUGCCAUUUGAUUCAAAUUUGGUAUUUUUAGAAGAAACAUCUUUGGUUAGUAGGCCAGUUUU
rnacentral:lncRNA from 1 species